rfam:Mycobacterium sp. 1274756.6 contig_63, whole genome shotgun sequence.
CUUCAUGAGUGGCCGUCGCCAAGCUCCGACUGGGCGGCCCGCCAACCCCACGCUCGUGGGUGGCUCGGAUGACGAAGCGACCGGCGCCAACCGGCACCGGUAAGAGCGCCUC